rnacentral:rRNA from 1 species
AACGAACGCUGGCGGCAGGCCUAAUACAUGCAAGUCGAACGAUCUCUUCGGAGAGAGUGGCGCACGGGUGAGUAACGCGUGGGAACGUGCCCCUGGGUGCGGAACAACGUCGGGAAACUGACGCUAAUACCGCAUAAUGACUUCGGUCCGAAGAUUUAUCGCCCAGGGAUCGGCCCGCGUCUGAUUAGCUAGUUGGCGGGGUAAAAGCCCACCAAGGCGACGAUCAGUAGCUGGUCUGAGAGGAUGAUCAGCCACACUGGGACUGAGACACGGCCCAGACUCCUACGGGAGGCAGCAGUAAGGGAUAUUGGACAAUGGAGGAAACUCUGAUCCAGCCAUGCCGCGUGAGUGAAGAAGGCCUUCGGGUUGUAAAGCUCUUUCAGUGGUGAAGAUGAUGACGGUAACCACAGAAGAAGCUCCGGCUAACUUCGUGCCAGCAGCCGCGGUAAUACGAAGGGGGCGAGCGUUGUUCGGAAUCACUGGGCUUAAAGCGUACG